CCUACGGGAGGCAGCAGUGGGGAAUAUUGCACAAUGGGCGAAAGCCUGAUGCAGCAACGCCGCGUGAGCGAUGAAGGCCUUCGGGUCGUAAAGCUCUGUCCUCAAGGAAGAUAAUGACGGUACUUGAGGAGGAAGCCCCGGCUAACUACGUUCCAGCAGCCGCGGUAAUACGUAGGGGGCUAGCGUUAUCCGGAAUUACUGGGCGUAAAGGGGGCGUAGGUGGUUUCUUAAGUCAGGGGUGAAAGGUUACGGCUCAACCGAAGUAAGCCUUUGAUACUGGGAAACUUGAGUGCAGGAGAGGAGAGUGGAAUUCGUGGUGUAGCGGUGAAAUGCGUAGAUAUCAGGAGGAACACCGGUGGCGAAGGCAGCCUGCUGGACUGCAACUGACGUUGAGGCUCGAAAGCGUGGGGAGCAAACAGGAUUAGAUACCCCAGUAGUC
rnacentral:rRNA from 1 species